rnacentral:rRNA from 1 species
UCCGGUGACGAAGGCGGGGAGGACACACCUGUGCCCAUGCCGAACACAGAAGUUAAGCUCCCCAGCGCCGAAGAUACUUGGCGGGGGACCGCCCGGGAAACUAGGACGCCGCCGGUU